GCCGAAGUGGUGGAAUUGGUAGACACACCAUCUUGAGGGGGUGGCGGCGCAAGCUGUGGAGGUUCGAGUCCUCUCUUCGGCACCA
rnacentral:tRNA from 1 species